rnacentral:rRNA from 1 species
GACAGAGGGUGCAAACGUUGUUCGGAAUUACUGGGCGUAAAGCGCGUGUAGGCGGCUAAGUAAGUCGGGCGUGAAAUCCCACGGCUCAACCGUGGAAGUGCACUCGAAACUGCAUAGCUAGAGUCCUGGAGAGGAAGGUGGAAUGCUUGGUGUAGAGGUGAAAUUCGUAGAUAUCGGGAGGAACACCAGUGGCGAAGGCGGGUCUCUGGGCAAUUCCUGACGCUGAGGCGCGAAAGCGUGGGGAGCAAACGGG